rnacentral:rRNA from 1 species
AAUAGAUACCCUGGUAGUCCACGCCGUAAACGAUGAGUGCUAAGUGUUAGAGGGUUUCCGCCCUUUAGUGCUGCAGCUAACGCAUUAAGCACUCCGCCUGGGGAGUACGGCCGCAAGGCUGAAACUCAAAGGAAUUGACGGGGGCCCGCACAAGCGGUGGAGCAUGUGGUUUAAUUCGAAGCAACGCGAAGAACCUUACCAGGUCUUGACAUCCUCUGCCAACCCUAGAGAUAGGGCGUUCCCCUUCGGGGGACAGAGUGACAGGUGGUGCAUGGUUGUCGUCAGCUCGUGUCGUGAGAUGUUGGGUUAAGUCCCGCAACGAGCGCAACCCUUGAUCUUAGUUGCCAGCAUUCAGUUGGGCACUCUAAGGUGACUGCCGGUGACAAACCGGAGGAAGGUGGGGAUGACGUCAAAUCAUCAUGCCCCUUAUGACCUGGGCUACACACGUGCUACAAUGGAUGGUACAAAGAGCUGCGAACCCGCGAGGGUUAAGCCAAUCUCAUAAAGCCAUUCUCAGUUCGGAUUGU